rnacentral:rRNA from 1 species
CCCCUAGACGUUCUGGGCUGCACGCGCGCUACAAUAAUACGCACAGCGAGUAUCACCGAGCUCGAAAGGGCAAGGUAAACAAUAGAAAAGGUACUGUAAUGGUUAUAGAUCCUUGUAAUUAUUGAUCUUCCACGAGGAAUUCCUAGUAAGUAUGUGUCAUCAUCACGCACUGAUUACGUCCCUGCCCUUUGUACACACCGCCCGUCGCUCCUACCGAUUGGGUGAGCCGAUGAAACUCUCGGAUGUAGGCUAUUCAUAGCCCGCAGAAGAGAUUUGAAUCGUAGCGCUUAGAGGAAGGAGAAGUCGUAACA